CGGAUGCAAGGCAGGGAACCGCACGGGAAGUGCAUGGAAAGCCCGAGUGCAUUCGCGAGAUGGGUCCCGUGUGUUUGUGCGUUGCAGUGCUCCUCGUCGUCGCCGCCGCAGCUUCCGCAUCUCAGAAUGCCCACUCAGAAAAAACAGCGUCAAAUGAAGUCCCAGAAGAUGAUGGAGAAUCCCAGAAAUUCACUCUCCAUGAAAGGCAAAUCUCAACGGCAACCAACGCUGAAAAGGAAGUUGUGGCGUACAAGAAUAUUGAAGAGCUUACUUGCUACAUUGAAAAAAUUCAAGAGCACCGUACGGAAAGGAUGAAUGGUGCCACGCUUUUUGCCUCCACGUUGCAAAUUUCUCAUAAAAAGGCGAGACAGCUAUGGGGCCCUAAAAUUGUUGAAUUUUGCAACGGGAUGCAAAUCAAGCUCCUCCACUCCAGACCGCCAGUGCCCAACUCACCGAGUCAUCAAGUGCUAUCCUCCAGCCAUCAGUCGAAGAUUCAGCCUAACGAUCCAAUAUUACGGAAACAGCGUUCUCUCACCAGCUCUAGCGAGGUUCUGAUUCUCAACGAGGAUAGUGUGGACGCUGCCUCGGUCCAUUCUGAGACAAGGAGUCGUAUCAAACGGAGGACUAAACGGGAAACAGACCGGAAGUCGCGGUACAGAGGCCAAGUACAAACCCAAUUUAUAGCUUUUGGCGGGGGCAAAGACGGCACAAAUAGCGGAACGGCUGAGGCGAUUGCUCAGCCAGAUAUGUCAAGAGCUACUGUUAGUAAGUGUCUGGCUUAUUUUGAUUUUCAAUUUAAGUGUAAUUUGGAAAACUAACAGACAUGGCACAAGUAAAAGCUACGAAGAAAAGUCCUGUAGAUUUACUCAUGCCUGCCGGAUUGCCUAAAGUUAAUUAGUGAAACGUAUGUCUGCACUUCCCGAGCCUUUCGGCCAGAACUCGGCUUUCGGCUCCCGCCGCUAGAGCUCUGCGCAAAAUUUGAAUUUGACCAACUUCGCAGUCUUGGCCGAAAACAAAUAUUACCGUCUGCUGUCGAUAAAAAUGAGCAUACAGCCGCCUCACUAAAAGCAAAGGGAUUUUUAUCCUUGAAGAAUUUGCUUGAACUAAAUUUGCUCGUUUUUGUCAACAGCAGAUAGUUGUAUUUGUAUUCACCCAAGACUGCAAAGUUGUUGAGCUUAUAAAUUCACGAAGAAAACAACUUUAGGGCUGGGACCUGAGCGGAGGGUCCCAGCAGUCCCGGCCCUAUCUGGGUAGCUAAAAUUGCUUUACCUGGGCGUAGCCCGAUUCCGUCCCCCGAUUCCGUCCCGAGUCCGAUUCCGUCCCGAAACUGAAACCAGAUUCCGAUUCCGUCCCGGAAAAUAAUUUCUAAAUACAAGCGGCAACAUCGCAGCAAUUUAAAUGGUAGCACAAUAGAAGAAUUAGGAAGUGAUAAAAGAAACUCACCAUGCGAUUACGUUGAGAACCAGCUUCUGAGCAAAAAUGUUGAGAAGUGUAAACUGAUCGGGUGUAAAGACCCGAUGCGUCAAACGGUAAAAAAAUAAAUAAAUAAAAAUGGAAACAUUACAGAAACAUGUUAGGCAUAUUUUAUGGGAAACAGCGCAAAAGUCCCAUCCAUAUAAACAGUUAAUGCCGAGCAAAGUAAUGUCGAAAUAACGAACUAGCGAAAACUAGGGUGGGUGCAAAUAAUUUCUGGAAUUCAAUUUUUGUUUCACUCGCAUUCGUCUUCAAAUAACUUUACACUCUUUAACUGUGCAGCGCCACCUUUUUAAAUUUUUUUUCAAAGGUUUUUGAAAGCUAAACUUAAAAUUAUUUACGAUAAUAAGAUCGUUGUCACGUUCACUUUCAAUUUUCACAACGGUGCUGCCAUGUUUACGGGACGAGCGCGGUGACGACUGCACGCAAACUAACACACUCAAGAUGCAUAAAGUGAACAGGUGACAAAGUGACCUUUCACCCGUACGCAUUCGUGGGGUCGCCCGUGUUACUGAUCUAUCAUGAUCUGAUCAGAGUGGCUUAUUUGUUUACUUUCUGAUAUGCUACCAUUUAAAUUGAUGCGGUGUUGCCGCUUGUAUUUAGAAAUUAUUUUUCCGGGACGGAAUCGGAAUCUGGUUAUAAUUUCGGGACGGAAUCGGACUCGGGACGGAAUCGGGGGACGGAAUCGGGGACGGAAUCGGGCGAUCCCGCUUUACCUCAUACCCCAUAGAUGCAGGCCCGGCGCGGGUAAGGCCCAAACCUACCUGCCUGGGUUCAGCCUUACCUGGUAUGGGCUGGAUCCUGUCCAGGUAGGGCUGGGCAGUGGGCCCUACCUGCGCCGGGCCUGCCCCUAUUGGGUAUAAGGUAAAGCAAUAUUUUAGGGUCCAACCCUACGUUUUUUCCUGGUUCACGCCACAGCUUUAAAGGCGGGAACCGAAAGCCGAACUCUGCCCGAAAGGGUCAGGAAAAGUAUGCCUAUACCUUUUACUUACCGUGGGAACGUCUUACUUACUAAAAUAGGUAAAUGCUUUGAUUUGGCAGUGAAAAAUGGAAAAAUUUCAUUCUCGCCCAAAAAAAAGUCUAAUAACUUUCCGUCAGGUAAAUUUAAAUUGAAAUUGCAAGAUAUUCCUCUCACGCAUAUAGUGAGCAGGAUAUAAAGCAUUAUAGCAUUCCUGAAUGAGCUGCCCCCGCCUGGUGCCAUAGAAAUACGAGUAUUUUUCAAAAUUAAAAAAGAAGAUAAGAAAAUUGUUUGCCACUGCCCACAUAUUAUUGCCUAAUUUGUUGAAUAUUAACUGCCUGGCAUACGUCAAGAUUUCAGUAGAUCCCCGUCACAACAGCUGUAUAUAAUCGAACAUAUGGAUCACACGAUGUUAAAUUUUCUUUUGUGUUUCAGUAAUUUAUAGAAAACUAAGCUACAUUAUAUCUCAUAAUUUUGUAAAAAUUUCAUUUUGUCCAGCAAAAAUGGACCACCAGAGAGGGUGCGAAUGAAAGGAUUAUGGUAUUUGUGCUGUCUCAUCAAAAUGACAUGUAGAAUUUGAUUUGUAUGUGACAAAAUUUACUAAAAAUAACUCUCAACCAAGAUAUUACCCGAGGUUUUGGAUGCACAAAUUCAAACUGCACUUUAUAAAAAACGAUAAUCUACUUAAGUUUUAUAGCACACUAAAGGUUACAGAGACAGUCUUUGCAGUAUGCAUUUACGACAACCUCAAUAUCGGCGCUUAAGGCCUAAUAAAUACACACGGCGAUUAAUCGCCGCGAUUGAAAGACGAAAGCCAAUGGAGAGCCUUAAUUUCGAUAUAUCGACGUCAAUGGAUCGAAAUCAAGGCUCUCCAUUGGCUUUCGUCUUUCAAUCGCGGCGAUUAAUCGCCGUGUGCCCUGGUAAAACUGAUCACCUAAAAAUAUAGAUGACAUCACCUCACCUAUAUAAGUUAGGUGGUAAUUGGAACAGGUGAUGUCACCUAAAAUGUGUAGGUGAUGUCACCUAGAAUUACAGGUGAUGUCACCUAGCAUUGUGGGGCCGUGAAAAAGCCCCCCAAAAUGGGUUAUGUACGGGGAUUAUUUCAAAAACUGUGAAAAAUGGCACCCACGUGUCACUGUUAGGUACUUGCGUUGGAAUUUUGAUUUGGAAUUUUUGCCUGCCCCGGGGAUUGAACCUGGGACCUCCCGAACAUUGAACGAAGACCUUACCUACUAAGCUAUGCCGGCGGCCUGAAAACAGUGACGAAAAACCUGCAUUUAGCUUCAAAUUAAACGUGCACUGUACAGCCAGGAUAUUUCGACCAGUUUUUAUUGAUUUGUUCGUUUUUUAAUUUAAUUCAUUUCAGUUUAUUACUUUACUUCAUUUUAUUUUUUACCUAUUUUUACCUUUAUUUCAUUUUAUAUUCUUUUUUAUUUAUUUUACUCUACUUUAUUUAUUUUACUCUACUUUAUUAUUUCAUUCUACUUUAUUAUUUUCCCUAUUUUAUUUUUUUUACUAUAUUUUAUUUUUUUAAUUUUACUUUAUUUUUUUACUUUUUUAUUUUUCACGCUGUGUUAUUUUACUUUUUUCUCUAUUUCAUUUUAUUUUAUUUUACUUUAUUUUAUUAUACCUAUUUACUAUGUUUCAUUUUCAGACUGCAUUUUAUUUUUCACUUUAUUUUCUUUUUCACUUUUUUCAUUUUCUAACGUCCACUUCUAACGUAUAUUUUUUUUACGACAUUUCAUGUCUUUAAUCAAUUUUAUUUUUACUUCAUUCUUGUUUUAUUUUACCUAAUGUUCCAAAUUUCUCUUUUUUACAUAUAUUUAUUCUUAUAGUUUUUUCCACUGUAGAUAUAAAAAUGUUUCGGAAAAAGCAAAUGUUCUAUUAUGUACCCAUGAAAUUAUCCAAUAAUUAGCUAGUUAAUAUUAAAUUUUUCCUUACUUAAUCCUGAAACUCAAAUGCGACCUGUGUAUGUAACCUUCCCUCCAGGUGAUGUCUUCUACCUUCCAGGUGAUGUCACCUACCUUCCAGGUGAUGUCACCUACCUUCAGGUGAUGUCACCUACCUUCCAGGUGAUGUCACCUACCUUCAGGUGAUGUCACCUACCUUCCAAGUG
rnacentral:lncRNA from 1 species